UUUUUUUUUUUUAAUUAAUUAUUUAAUUUAUAUAGGCAUUGUUAAUUUGUUGGUAAUUAAUUUUCUUUUUACUUGUUUUCUUGCUAAUUAGUUGUUAGUUUAAUUAGUUUUACUUUCUUUUCUUAUUUUGUUAAUUAGUUGUUUAUUUUAUACGGGCAUAAUUUGAUUACUUUACUUUUUAUUCUUGUUAAUUUUUUCACUCUUAUUUUACAUAUAGAUAUAGUGUAAAUAAUGUUUUUUCUUUUUAAUAUGCCUUUUUACUUAUCAACUAUUCACACACACACACACACACAA
rnacentral:misc_RNA from 1 species